GAUGAACGCUGGCGGCGCGCCUAACACAUGCAAGUCGAACGAGUAAGACGCCUUCGGGCGUGCAUAGAGUGGCGAACGGGUGAGUAACACGUGACCAACCUGCCCCCUCCUCCGGGACAACCUCGGGAAACCGAGGCUAAUACCGGAUACUCCGGGCCCCCCGCAUGGGGAGCCCGGGAAAGCCCUGGCGGGAGGGGAUGGGGUCGCGGCCCAUCAGGUAGACGGCGGGGUAACGGCCCACCGUGCCUACUACGGGUAGCCGGGCUGAGAGGCCGAUCGGCCACAUUGGGACUGAGACACGGCCCAGACUCCUACGGGAGGCAGCAGUGGGGAAUUUUGCGCAAUGGGGGCAACCCUGACGCAGCGACGCCGCGUGCGGGACGAAGUCAUUCGUGACGUAAACCGCUUUCAGCGAGGAAGAACCAUGACGGUACUCGCAGAAGAAGCCCCGG
rnacentral:rRNA from 1 species